CUUUGCUUUUUGUUUUUUUAAUACUUGUACCAUAUUAUAUGCAUCUGCCUCAGUUCAUUACAUCUGUUUCUUUUGGCUUUCAGCCUUACUGAACUUGUUUUUCCUGCUGUGUUUCUGUAAACAACUCUCAGCAGCAAAGUCCAGCCUACAGCUGGAUCAAUCUGUUCCUUCAAAAGUAAGCCACCCGUCUAUAUCUGGAACGGCUAAGUAUUUGUCUGGAAACGUGCUGCAAGUGCUAGAAGCCAGGAUGUAAGGAGGUGUAGUUUUGUUUCUGACAGAUUUGUUGUGCAGCCUGGUGGGUAACGGCUAGAAAUAACUAAUGUCAGCUGUGAAUACUGGAGGAAAGGUCAAGAAUAUGAAGGUAAUGCAAGUGUGGACAGAUUUGACCCUCCCUGGGAACACAGGGAGACACUCCCCCACACUACCCACACAUGACCGACACGGCUACAACCUACACCCUGUAACAUGGAAGAUACUAAAUUCUGCCACUUGAAAUGGAAACUGUACAACAUGAAAAAGAAGCUAACUCAAGAGACAUAUAUUUUCUAAGCCUAUGCAAGAAACACAACUUUGUUCCCAGAGGAUUAAACAUCCACAAUCCUCUGAUUACUGCACACAACUCCAAAUAUGCUUCACUGCUAUGCAGGAAAACUUCAGAGAAAAUUAGAAAUCAUCUUCUUCACCUAAUCUACUCCAAAAGAGACCAGCUCAGAAAGGAAAUCACCACCUGCUACAACAACUUAAAAGAGAAAAAUCUAGAUAUCUUCCCUAAUAUUAUACAAUGGACACAAAGAGACUACAGAAAUUUUUCUACAACAGUCAUCCAACAUAAAAAGCAGAAAUGGAACAAAUUACUCCAGGAGCACCUUUCCCAGCCACAAAACAACCAUCAGAGGAGCAACACCAACACCUUACAACAUUCCAAUCUCAGAUUUGAUGAAAUUGAAAGCAGCAACCAACCCUCAAAUAUCAUCAAUCUCUCCACACACGCUUACCAAAACUGAAAAUUCUGUCCUUCCUAAAGGCCUAAAUUUCUGUCCAGAAAAAUACCCUAAUAAAGUACGUCAAUGUGGAGAACUAGAAGAAUUUGUCUGACGCCUCUGCCUCAAGGAAUAUUUCCACAACCAAAAUGAAUCCACUUUCAACAACAACUCAUCCUCUGACAACACUGAGGAAAAAAUCAACCGCGCAAAACCCCCCAAAAUUAGAUUGGACACCUCACAGUGGAUGAAAUUCUAACCUUGACUGCUACAAUGACUGCUUCAGGGAAAGAAUGAACAAUGAAAUAAUCAACAACACAUGCCACCAUAACAAUUUCUCCCCACCAGGGAGAAAGGCCAUAGAAUCUCUAAGAUCUAACCACCAAAUAGUAACAAAGCCAGCAGAUAAAGGAGGAGCCAUAGUCAUCCUUAACCAUGAAGGCUUCAUAAAGGAAGUCAGCAGACAACUCUCUGAAACCACCUACUACAAAGAACUACAAGAAGAUCCUAUUCUCCUUUUCACCUUGAAACUCAAAAAUACUAUCAAAUCAUUUCCAUCAGAACGACAAGAAAAACUACAGACCUUGAUCCCCCUACUACCUAAUUCAGGGACUUUUUACAUGCUCCCUAAAAUCCACAAACAAGAACCCUGGCAGACUUAUCAUAUCCAGCCAUGAAACUCUAACUGAGGAAAUAUCAGGUUUCAUUGAAUCAAUCCUAAAACUGCUUGUCACCCAAAGAACGAGUUUUGUCCAAGAUACUACAGAAAUUCUAUGGAAACUUAAAAACAUAGACCACCUUCCCAGCAACACCCUCCUAGCCACCAUGUACCAACAUCCCACACCAGGAUGGCAUCCAAGCCUGCCGUACAUACCUAUGAGAACAAGAUGACAACUCAGAAUACAGACCCAAAGAUAUUAUUCACUUUAUACGCUUCAUCCUCACACACAACAAUUUCACUUUUAAUAACCAACACUUCCUCCAGACCAUGGGCACAGCUAUGGGCACCAGAAUGGCCCCCCAGUAUGCCAACCUUUUUAUAAGCCACCUGGAAGAAGAAUUCCUCAAGGACCGUACCAUCAAACCCUUGCUAUACUUAAGAUAUAUUGAUGACAUAUCAUUUGAACUGAAAACCUGCAAUCUCUGAUUGAGUUUCAAGAAUCAUCAUCCCUCCAUCUGACUAUCUCUUGAAUAAUCCAGCACCAACAUCUCCUUUUUCGACAUGAUGAUCAGUAUCCAGAAUGGUAAAAUACAGACUACGUUAUACAAGAAACUCACAGACCAACACACAUAUAUGCACAGAACCAGCAAUCACCCUGAACACACCAGGGAAGCUGUGAUCUACAGUCAAGCCCUCAGAUACCACUGAAUUUGCACUGCGGAGAACACCCGGGAUUGCCACCUCACUAGUCUUAAAAAAAAACUUUUACUAUACAAGGACACUCCACCAGAGAAAUAGAUCACACGUUUGAAAGAGCAACCUGGAUACCACGUGAAGAAUUGCUGAAGUACAGAAGAAAGACCCCCAUGAAUUAAACACUGUUGGUUAUAACAUAUCACCCCUCCCUCAAACCCAUACAGAAAAUCCUCAAACAAUUGCAACUCAUACUAGAAGGAGACCCUAUUCUUAAAGAGAUCUUUCCAGAACCACCCAUGCUAGCCUUCAAACAAGCUCCAAACCUUGCUAACCUCAUCAUGAGGAGCAAAAUUCCUAUGGCCCAGAACACACCAAAUGGAUCCAGACCAUGCCAGGACAAGAAAUGCAAAACCUGCCAACACAUCUCCACCACCCCCACAAUUACUACACCCCACAACAGAACCAUCAGCAUUUCUGGAUUCUACAUCUGCACCUCCAGAAAUGUAAUAUAUUUCAUGCAAUGCACCAAAUACCAUGAUGGAAAAUAUGUAGGAGAGACCAAACAACAACUGAGCACUAGAAUGAAUGCACACCAGAAAUCUAUUAAAGACAAGAAUACCCAAUUACCUGUGGGGGUACAUUUCUCACAAGAAAACCACUCUCUCUCCAAUCUCUUAGUUCUAAUCCUCAAAGGGAAUUUACAAAACACUUUUCACAGACAAGCCUAUGAACUUCACUUCAUCACCACCACCCCCACUUCCAGCUUGUCUCUUACUCACUGACUCCUUAAUUUACAUCUCCCUGACUACCUUUCUUGCAUGCAUGCCAGCCUCUGGCUUAUUUACUAUUCCAUCCAGGAAGAGCACACACUAACUGCAGAUGCUUCCUCAGCCUGACAGAAGGUUUUUAAACCUGAAAAGGCUUGCUAAGAAUGUUUUUUCCAACUAUUUAAGUUGGUCUAAUAAAAGAGAUCAGAUUCACCCAAAGAACCUUGUCUGCAUUAAAAUGCAUGGAAUCAAUUUGUGGCUUUCACUCUAGUCAACCUUGACUAUUACAGUACUUGUUAUAAGCAGCUUUCACUGCUUGUUAUUUUUAUUAUUAUAUUUAUGUAAACUUUUCAAGCAGAUGUUGCAAACCAAAGGAGUAAACACAGGAGAGGGUGAAGGUGACACCGAAACAUCACGUUGAUAGACGAGUCAUGUAUAAUGGUUACAGGUCAUGGAAGAAUUUAUUUUGGA